rnacentral:rRNA from 1 species
GAGCUUGCUCCACCGGAAAAAGAGGAGUGGCGAACGGGUGAGUAACACGUGGGUAACCUGCCCAUCAGAAGGGGAUAACACUUGGAAACAGGUGCUAAUACCGUAUAACAAUCGAAACCGCAUGGUUUUGAUUUGAAAGGCGCUUUCGGGUGUCGCUGAUGGAUGGACCCGCGGUGCAUUAGCUAGUUGGUGAGGUAACGGCUCACCAAGGCCACGAUGCAUAGCCGACCUGAGAGGGUGAUCGGCCACAUUGGGACUGAGACACGGCCCAAACUCCUACGGGAGGCAGCAGUAGGGAAUCUUCGGCAAUGGACGAAAGUCUGACCGAGCAACGCCGCGUGAGUGAAGAAGGUUUUCGGAUCGUAAAACUCUGUUGUUAGAGAAGAACAAGGAUGAGAGUAACUGUUCAUCCCUUGACGGUAUCUAACCAGAAAGCCACGGCUAACUACGUGCCAGCAGCCGCGGUAAUACGUAGGUGGCAAGCGUUGUCCGGAUUUAUUGGGCGUAAAGCGAGCGCAGGCGGUUUCUUAAGUCUGAUGUGAAAGCCCCCGGCUCAACCGGGGAGGGUCAUUGGAAACUGGGAGACUUGAGUGCAGAAGAGGAGAGUGGAAUUCCAUGUGUAGCGGUGAAAUGCGUAGAUAUAUGGAGGAACACCAGUGGCGAAGGCGGCUCUCUGGUCUGUAACUGACGCUGAGGCUCGAAAGCGUGGGGAGCAAACAGGAUUAGAUACCCUGGUAGUCCACGCCGUAAACGAUGAGUGCUAAGUGUUGGAGGGUUUCCGCCCUUCAGUGCUGCAGCUAACGCAUUAAGCACUCCGCCUGGGGAGUACGACCGCAAGGUUGAAACUCAAAGGAAUUGACGGGGGCCCGCACAAGCGGUGGAGCAUGUGGUUUAAUUCGAAGCAACGCGAAGAACCUUACCAGGUCUUGACAUCCUUUGACCACUCUAGAGAUAGAGCUUCCCCCUUCGGGGGGCAAAGUGACAGGUGGUGCAUGGUUGUCGUCAGCUCGUGUCGUGAGAUGUUGGGUUAAGUCCCGCAACGAGCGCAACCCUUAUUGUUAGUUGCCAUCAUUCAGUUGGGCACUCUAGCAAGACUGCCGGUGACAAACCGGAGGAAGGUGGGGAUGACGUCAAAUCAUCAUGCCCCUUAUGACCUGGGCUACACACGUGCUACAAUGGGAAGUACAACGAGUCGCGAAGUCGCGAGGCUAAGCUAAUCUCUUAAAGCUUCUCUCAGUUCGGAUUGCAGGCUGCAACUCGCCUGCAUGAAGCCGGAAUCGCUAGUAAUCGCGGAUCAGCACGCCGCGGUGAAUACGUUCCCGGGCCUUGUACACACCGCCCGUCACACCACGAGAGUUUGUAACACCCGAAGUCGGUGAGGUAACC